rnacentral:rRNA from 1 species
UACGAAGGGGGCUAGCGUUGCUCGGAAUCACUGGGCGUAAAGGGUGCGUAGGCGGGUCUUUAAGUCAGAGGUGAAAUCCUGGAGCUCAACUCCAGAACUGCCUUUGAUACUGAGGAUCUUGAGUUCGGGAGAGGUGAGUGGAACUGCGAGUGUAGAGGUGAAAUUCGUAGAUAUUCGCAAGAACACCAGUGGCGAAGGCGGCUCACUGGCCCGAUACUGACGCUGAGGCACGAAAGCGUGGGGAGCAAUCAGG